ACAACAAAUCACAGCCUACC
rnacentral:miRNA from 1 species